rnacentral:rRNA from 1 species
UUCCAUGCAGUCGAGCGAGGCGGGUAGCAAUACCCAGUCGAGCGGCGAACGGGUGAGUAACGCGUGGAUUAUCUACCCUGAGGUGGGGGAUAACCCGGCGAAAGCCGGGCUAAUACCGCAUAACAUCGAAAGAUCAAAGGGGGAGCAAUCUCCCGCCAUUGGAGGAGUCCGCGUCCGAUUAGCUAGUUGGUAGGGUAAUGGCCUACCAAGGCGACGAUCGGUAGCCGGCCUGAGAGGGUGAUCGGCCACACUGGAACUGAGACACGGUCCAGACUCCUACGGGAGGCAGCAGUGGGGAAUUUUGCGCAAUGGGCGAAAGCCUGACGCAGCAACGCCGCGUGGAGGAUGACGGUCCUUGGAUCGUAAACUCCUGUCAGCAGGGAAAAAGGGGACCGGGCUCAUACCCCGGUUCAUUGAUUGUACCUGCAGAGGAAGCCCCGGCUAACUCUGUGCCAGCAGCCGCGGUAAUACAGAGGGGGCAAGCGUUAUUCGGAAUUAUUGGGCGUAAAGGGCGCGUAGGCGGCUCGACAAGUGGAAAGGUGAAAUCCCUCGGCUUAACCGAGGAACUGCCCUCCAAACUGUUUUGCUUGAGGCCGGGAGAGGUGAGUGGAAAUUCCCAGUGUAGCGGUGAAAUGCGUAGAUAUUGGGAGGAACACCAGUAGCGAAGGCGGCUCACUGGACCGGGUUCUGACGCUGAGGCGCGAAAGCGGUGGGGAGCAAACGGGAUUAGAUACCCCGGGUAGUCCAUGCCGUAACGAUGAUGCUGGUGUACGGGUUAUCGACCCCUGCUGGU